UACGAGGGGAGCUAGCGUUGUUCGGAAUUACUGGGCGUAAAGCGCGCGUAGGCGGUCUUUUAAGUCAGAGGUGAAAGCCUGGUGCUCAACACCAGAACUGCCUUUGAAACUGGAAGACUUGAAUCUUGGAGAGGUCAGUGGAAUUCCGAGUGUAGAGGUGAAAUUCGUAGAUAUUCGGAAGAACACCAGUGGCGAAGGCGACUGACUGGACAAGUAUUGACGCUGAGGUGCGAAAGCGUGGGGAGCAAACAGG
rnacentral:rRNA from 1 species